rnacentral:rRNA from 1 species
GGAGGGGGCUAGCGUUUGUUCGGAUUUACUGGGCGUAAAGGGCGCGUAGGCGGUAUGCCAUGUCAGGGGUGAAAGGCCUGGGCUCAACCCAGGAACUGCCUUUGAAACUGGCAAACUAGAGUCCGAUAGAGGAUGGCGGAAUUCCCAGUGUAGAGGUGAAAUUCGUAGAUAUUGGGAAGAACACCAGUGGCGAAGGCGGCCAUCUGGAUCGGCACUGACGCUGAGGCGCGAAAGCGUGGGGAGCAAACAGAAUUAGAUACCCUGGUAGUCCACGCCGUAAACGAUGUGUGCUAGACGUUGGGGGCCCUUAGGCCCUGAGUGUCGCAGCUAACGCGUUAAGCACACCGCCUGGGGAGUACGGCCGCAAGGUUA